rnacentral:rRNA from 1 species
UGUAGUCAUAUGCUUGUCUCAAAGAUUAAGCCAUGCAUGUCUAAGUAUAAGCAAUUAUACCGCGAAACUGCGAAUGACUCAUUAAAUCAGUUAUCGUUUAUUUGAUAGUACCUUACUACAUGGAUAACCGUGGUAAUUCUAGAGCUAAUACAUGCUAAAAAUCCCGACUUCGGAAGGGGUGUAUUUAUUAGAUUAAAAACCAAUGCCCUUCGGGGCUCUCUGGUGAUUCAUAAUAACUUCUCGAAUCGCACGGCCUUGCGCCGGCGAUGGUUCAUUCAAAUUUCUGCCCUAUCAACUUUCGACGGCUGGGUCUUGGCCAGCCGUGGUGACAACGGGUAACGGGGAAUG